AGAGCAAGGGCCCGGAGAUGGAACCUGAGACAAGGUUCCAGACCCUACGGGGUGCAGCAGGCGCGAAACCUCCGCAAUGUACGAAAGUGCGACGGGGGGAUCCCAAGUGUUAUGCUUUUUUGUAUGACUUUUCAUUAGUGUAAAAAGCUUUUAGAAUAAGAGCUGGGCAAGACCGGUGCCAGCCGCCGCGGUAACACCGGCAGCUCGAGUGGUAGCUGUUUUUAUUGGGCCUAAAGCGUUCGUAGCCGGUUUGAUAAGUCUUUGGUGAAAGCUUGUAGCUUAACUAUAAGAAUUGCUGGAGAUACUGUCAGACUUGAAGUCGGGAGAGGUUAGAGGUACUACCGGGGUAGGGGUGAAAUCCUAUAAUCCUGGGAGGACCACCUGUGGCGAAGGCGUCUAACUGGAACGAUCUUGACGGUGAGUAACGAAAGCCAGGGGCGCGAACCGGAUUAGAUACCCGGGUAGUCCUGGCCGUAAACGAUGUGGACUUGGUGUUGGAAUGGCUUUGAGUUGUUCCGGUGCCGAAGGGAAGCUGUUAAGUCCACCGCCUGGGAAGUACGGUCGCAAGACUGAAACUUAA
rnacentral:rRNA from 1 species